ensembl:miRNA
UGAGGCAGGAGAAUUGCUUGAACCCAGGAGGUGGAGGUUGCGGUGAGCCGAGAUCGAGCCAUUGCACUUCAGCCUGGGUGACAGAGCGAGACUCCGUCUCA